UACUACUUACUAGUUGUAUUUAGUGUCACAUUUUAACCAUAGGUUUAUAUAUAUAUAUGGUGGGUCUAUUAUGAUAACACCUUUAAGACUCUUAUUAUGCUAACACUAGACUUAUUCUGCUAACACCCCGCAGCCCCGACCAAAAAAAAGCAGGUCAACCCCGGCCCGGCCUCCCCAACUCCUCCCACGUCUCCCUCGCAGGCUGGCACCCACCCACCUUCUUCGUCUCCCCCCCCACCGCGGCCUGAUCCACCUCCUGCCCUGCCUGGCCGCGCCGCCCACCCAGCUUCUUCCACCUCAAGGCGACGGAUCCGGGCCCCUGCGCGGCCACGACCAGCCCCAACCGCGACAUCCAGCGGUGACGACCCGACCAUGGCGGCGUGCUAGGAGCUGGAUCUCGACGGGACGGCGGCCGUCCAUGACGCAGCGACGCGGGGUCGUGCUCCUCCUGAAGAUCAGCCCGGCCGGCAGCGACGCCAAACCUCCCCUAACCCCGGAUCCACACCGCCCCCGGCGGGAAUCAGGUGGACGCAGUCUAGGUCGAUCCGCUCUGUCCACGGAUCCGGCAUCUCCUGCCUCACAUCCGGCCGCUACGGGGUCGCCGCUCCUCCCAGUGGACUUGUCCACUUCCUGCAGUCCACGGCGCGGGUGACGGACCACCUCGGGUUAGUGGUGGACGUCGGCGACCAUCAGUAAACGAAGCCACGCCAUGGUCCUGGACAUGGACGACGCCCGGAGGGCAAGCUUCUUCCCUAUCGGAUCCGGCCGGAGGUGGUGCCCCAAGCCCACCAUUUUGCACGCGAAGUCAGUGCGAUGGAUGGGUUCUCUUCAUCCUCUCCAGCAAGUUCUGCGGCGAGCAGCUGUCACCGCCCACUAUCCUACCCACAACGCAGUGCGGCACCGCGGCGCAUGCAGUGCGGCAGGGCGGCGCUUGUAGUACGGCGCUCAAGGCCGUGCGUUAGGCCAUCGCUAAUGCUCUGGCGUCUCCACCGAGGGCGUCCUCCCUGUCCAGCAGCGAGCUGCAGUUCCUCCGCGACGCCGGCGGACAUCACGAGCAAUACAGUGUUUGUCCAGGACGCCGACGCCUUCCAGUUUAGCGGCUCCAGAGCGAGCAGUGCAGGUUGCUCUUUGUUACAGCUCAGUUGGGUCGUCGGUGCAGUAUGCACGGACGUGAGAGGACAGGACGACGACGUUGACUCCUGUGAGAAUAGCAAUCAUAUCACCCUCAGGAACCCCCGUUUUCUUACCAGAUAUUCCUCAAUUGCAUUUUGGUGCUGGUGCGCCAGUGUCAUGUUUGGCUACAUUUGUAGCUGAUCUAGUGCAGCUUGGUUCGUCCCCAAAAACAGUUCUGCUGAUCCUCAAUUGCAACUCUGCCAGGUGCUAGUGCUGAUUUUGUGUGUAUGUAUGUGUGUGUGGCUAUGUAAAACAACCGAUGGAUGUAUUGUGCCCAUGAGCAUCGUCAGCGGCCAUAUACAGUGGCGCUAAAACAGAAAGUGUGCAUGCAGGUUGGCUGGCUCGGUCGUGCAGUACUUUGUAUUUUUCUGCGGUUCACUUGUUCUUCAAAAAUAUUCAAAGAAUGCUGGUGGGGAGGUAACAGUCUUUUGAUGCAAUGUAAUUAUUAAUGCA